GAGAGGCUGUCUCGGAGUUCU
rnacentral:siRNA from 1 species